UUCCACUAUGUCGGCGUCCACCAGGCCCCGUGUUGGGCUGUCCGACAGGGAGGCGUCGGGAGUAUCAGCCACCACAAGGGCCAUGGAGGCGCCGCCAUCCUCCGUGUCCAUCUCCUUCCGGUCAGCCACGAUGGCUCUCGCCAGGGCGGCGCCGUCAUCCAGGGAUGGAUUUUCCACCAAGACUGCUUCCUUCAAACGUUUCUUCCUCUCGAUCUCCUUCGCCCGAUCCUUAACUGACUUGAACGAGUCGUCCUCCACACUCAUGUCCGUUGACACCCUUGCAGGCGUCAAACUCCUAGAUUUCUUGCCCAUCAAGAUAACCUAGGCGGCGCACAUAAAUGGAGGAAAACUCUCUACCGCCGCCGUGGGGAGCGGCGUGAUCAGUCAGCCGUCGACGGCGAGGGGCGCCGGCGACAGGAGGAGGAGCGACGAGGUUUGACGGUGCUGAAAAGUGAUCGACGACGGGCUGAGGGCGAGGUGCGCCGCCAGCCGCGAGUUCCGGGAGAGAAAAAGUCGAGAGAGAAUUUUCGCCCCCCUAGGGUUUCGAAAAUUCCUUGCGCGAACAAUGACUCGACGACAUGCAAAUCAUUCGACUGACUUGGGUAUAGGGGUGAAAGUCUAAUCGAACCGUCUAGUAGCUGGUUCCCUCCGAAGUUUCCCUCAGGAUAGCUGGAGCUCUAGUGCGAGUUCUAUCGGGUAAAGCCAAUGAUUAGAGGCAUCGGGGGCGCAACGCCCUUGACCUAUUCUAAAACUUUAAAUAGGUAGGACGGUGCGGCUGCUCCGUUGAGCCACGACGGAGAAUCAUGAGCUCCAAGUGGGCCAUUUUUGGUAAGCAGAACUGGCGAUGCGGGAUGAACCGUAAGCUGGGUUACGGUGCCCAACUGCAUACUAACCUAGAUCCCACAAAGGGUGUUGGUCGAUUAAGACAGCAGGACGGUGGUCAUGGAAGUCGAAAUUAGCUAAGGAGUGUGUAACAGCUCACCUGCCGAAUCAACUAGCCCCAAAAAUGGAUGUCUCUAAAGCGCGUGACCUAUACCCGAACGUCAGGGCAAGGGCCAUGUGCCGAUGAGUAGGAGGGCACAGCGGUCGCUGCAAAACCCUGGGCACGAGCUCGGGCGGAGUGGCCAUCGAUGAGGAUCUUAGUGGUAGUAGCAAAUAUUUAAAUGAGAACUUUGAAGGCCGAAGAAGGAAAAGGUUCCAUGUGAACGACACUUGCACAUGGGUUAGUCGAUCCUUAGGGUCGGGGGAAGCCCGACAGACAGCACGUUCAGCACGUGCUACGAAAGGGAAUCGGUUUAAAAUUCCCAAAAAAGGAUGCGGCGGUUGACAACAAUGUUAGGGAGUCCAGAGACAUUGGUGGGGGCUUAGGGAAGAAUUAUCUUUUCUGUUUAACAGCCCGCCCACCAUGGAAAUGGCUCAGCUGCAGGUAGGGUCCAACGCUGGAAGAAAACCGCACGUCGCGUGGUGUUCGGUGUGCCCCCGCAGCCCUUGAAAAUCUGGAGGACCAAGUACCGUCUGCGCCCGGUCGUACUCAUAACCGCAUCAGGUCUCCAAGGUGAACAACCUCUGGUCGAUUGAACAAUGUAGGCAAGGUAAGUUGGAAAAAUGGAUCCGUAACCUCAGGAAAAGGAUUGGCUCUGAGGACUGGGCACGGGGGUCACAGUCUCGAACCCAUUGGCGUCGGCGAACUGCUCGAGCUGCUCGUGCAGCAAGAGCUGGUCAUCGCGUGCCGACCGGGGGAUGGAUUGGGAACGGCUCCCUCGAGGGCCUUCCCAGGCAUCGAAAAAUAGACUCAGAACUGGUACGAACAAGGGGAAUCUAACUGUUUAACUAAAAUAAAGUAUUGUGAUGGUCCCUGCGGAUGCUCACGCAAUGUGAUUUCUGCCCAGUGCUCUAAAUAUCAAAGUGAAGAAAUUCAACCAAGCACGAUUAAACGGCGAGAGUAAUUAUGACUCUCUUAAGGUAGCCAAAUGCCUCGUCAUCUAAUUAGUGAUGCGCAUGAAUGGAUUAACGAGAUUCCCACUGUCCCUGUCUACUAUCCAGCAAAACCAUAGCCAAGGGAACGAGCUUGGCGGAAUCUAUAGGAGAAGAAGACCCUGUUGAGGUUGACUCUAGUCCAAGCUGUUGAGCUUGACUAUAGUUCGACUUUGUUAAAUGACUUGAGAGGUGUAGGAUAAGUAGGAGCCGAAAGGCGAAAGUGAAAUACCACUACUUUUAACGUUAUUUAACUUAUUCCGUGAAUUGGAGGUGGGGCAUUGCCUCUCUUUUUGGACCCAAGGCUCGCCUUGGCGGGCCGAUAAGGGCGGAAGACAUUGUCAGGUGGGGAGUUUGGCUAGGGCGGCACAUCUGUUAAAAGAUAAUGCAGGUGUCCUAAGAUGAGCCCAAUGAGAACAGAAAUCUCGUGUGGAACAGAAGGUUAAUUCUGAUUUCCAGUACGAAUACGAACCGUGAAAGUGUGGCCUAAUGAUCCUUUUGACCUUCGGAAUUUGAAGCUAGAGGUGUCAGAAAAGUUACCACAGGGAUAACUGGCUUGUGGCAGCCAAGCGUUCAUAGCGACGUUGCUUUUUGAUCCUUCGAUGUCGGCUCUUCCUAUGAAUGUGAAGCAUAAUUCACCAAGUGUUGGAUUAUUCACCCACCAAUAGGGAACAUGAGCUGGGUUUAGACCGUCAUGAGACAGAUUAGUUUUACCCUAAUGAUGAUGGUGUCGCAAUAGUAAUUCAACCUAGUACGAGAGGAACCGUUGAUUCACACAAUUGGUCAUCGCGCUUGGUUAAAAAGCUAGUGGCGCGAAGCUACUGUGUGCUGGAUUAUGACUGAACGCCUUUAAGUCAGAAUUCGAGCUAGACGCGACACAUGCGCACGCUGUCUGCUCCCCGACCUACAGUAGGGGCCCCUAGGCCCCCAAGGACACAUGUCGUUGGCCAAGCCCCCGCGGCGGACGAGCCGCGUGGGCCGCCUCAGAGUACAAUUCCAAUCGAGCGGUAGGUAGAAUCAUUUGCAGACAACUUAAAUACACGACUAGGUAUUGUAAGUGGCAGAGUGCCCUUGCUGCCACGAUCCGCUGAGAUUCAGCCCUCGUCGCUUCGAUUCGU
rnacentral:rRNA from 1 species